rnacentral:rRNA from 1 species
UACGAAGGGGGCUAGCGUUGCUCGGAAUUACUGGGCGUAAAGGGUGCGUAGGCGGGUCUUUAAGUCAGAGGUGAAAUCCUGGAGCUCAACUCCAGAACUGCCUUUGAUACUGAGGAUCUUGAGUUCGGGAGAGGUGAGUGGAACUGCGAGUGUAGAGGUGAAAUUCGUAGAUAUUCGGAAGAACACCAGUGGCGAAGGCGGCUCACUGGCCUGGUAUUGACGCUGAGGUGCGAAAGCGUGGGGAGCAAACAGG